rnacentral:rRNA from 1 species
CGCGUAGGUGGUUUGGUCAGUCAGAUGUGAAAGCCCCGGGCUCAACCUGGGAACUGCACCUGAUACUGCCAAGCUAGAGUACGGUAGAGGGAAGUGGAAUUUCCGGUGUAGCGGUGAAAUGCGUAGAGAUCGGAAGGAACACCAGUGGCGAAGGCGACUUCCUGGACUGAUACUGACACUGAGGUGCGAAAGCGUGGGGAGCAAACA